rnacentral:rRNA from 1 species
AGAACGAACGCUGGCGGCAUGCCUAAUACAUGCAAGUCGAACGAACACUUCGGUGUUAGUGGCGCACGGGUGCGUAACGCGUGGGAAUCUGCCCUUGGGUUCGGAAUAACAGUUGGAAACGACUGCUAAUACCGGAUGAUAUCGAAAGAUCAAAGAUUUAUCGCCCAGGGAUGAGCCCGCGUAGGAUUAGCUAGUUGGUGAGGUAAAGGCUCACCAAGGCGACGAUCCUUAGCUGGUCUGAGAGGAUGAUCAGCCACACUGGGACUGAGACACGGCCCAGACUCCUACGGGAGGCAGCAGUAGGGAAUAUUGGACAAGUGGGCGCAAGCCUGAUCCAGCAAUGCCGCGUGAGUGAUGAAGGCCUUAGGGUUGUAAAGCUCUUUACCGAGAUGAUAAUGACAGUAUCGGAGAAUAAGCCCCGGACUAACUCCGUGCCAGCAGCCGAC